GGUUUUUCAAAAAAAAACAUGCGUUUCAAGGUGCCAUGGAUUUUAAAGACCGUGGAUUUACUCAAAACUUAUGGGUUUUAAAAAAGGCUUUAAAAGGAAAUAACUAAAAAAGCUUUUCCUGUGAUUUAAGAUGAUACCGGGGAAGGUUUUCCGGUUUAUCCCGGAGGGCUUGUAGCUCAGUUGGUUAGAGCGCGCGCUUGAUAAGCGUGAGGUCGGAGGUUCAAGUCCUCCCAGGCCCACCAAUUUAUGCUCGUUUUUUGCUUAUCCAAGAGUAUGAAGCUUAAGCGUAUUAAAGCCUCUUCAAUCUUUGUUUAUUUUUAAAGAUUUUAUUUUAUUAUUCAAAGAUUGUUUGUUAAAUUUAUCCCAUUAAGCUUCCAAAGAGGCUUUGUCCCUUCAGUGGUACAGAUAAAUUUACAUGAUACAAAUCAAAACAGGACAGGUAAUUCAAGUUGAUGAAUUUGGUUAUGGUUGAUUUGAGAGAGCAUUAUUUAGGGGCCGUAGCUCAGCUGGGAGAGCACCUGCUUUGCAAGCAGGGGGUCAUCGGUUCA
rnacentral:misc_RNA from 1 species